GAUCAUGGCUCAGAUUGAACGCUGGCGGUAUGCUUAACACAUGCAAGUCGAACGGUAGCAGGCCUUCGGGCGCUGACGAGUGGCGGACGGGUGAGUAACGCGUAGGAAUCUGCCUCAUAGUGGGGGACAACGUGGGGAAACUCACGCUAAUACCGCAUACGCCCUACGGGGGAAAGCGGGGGAUCUUCGGACCUCGCGCUAUGAGAUGAGCCUGCGUUAGAUUAGCUAGUUGGUAGGGUAAAGGCCUACCAAGGCGACGAUCUAUAGCUGGUCUGAGAGGACGAUCAGCCACACUGGGACUGAGACACGGCCCAGACUCCUACGGGAGGCAGCAGUGGGGAAUAUUGGACAAUGGGCGCAAGCCUGAUCCAGCAAUACCGCGUGUGUGAAGAAGGCCUUAGGGUUUGUAAAGCACUUUCAAUUGGGAGGAAAACCUGUCGGUCAAUACCCGGCAGCUUGACAUUACCUUUUAGAAGAAGCACCGGCUAACUCCGUGCCAGCAGCCGCGG
rnacentral:rRNA from 1 species